AUUGAACGCUGGCGGCAUGCCUAACACAUGCAAGUCGAGCGGAUGAAGGGAGCUUGCUCCUGGAUUCAGCGGCGGACGGGUGAGUAAUGCCUAGGAAUCUGCCUGGUAGUGGGGGAUAACGUCCGGAAACGGGCGCUAAUACCGCAUACGUCCUGAGGGAGAAAGUGGGGGAUCUUCGGACCUCACGCUAUCAGAUGAGCCUAGGUCGGAUUAGCUAGUUGGUGGGGUAAAGGCCUACCAAGGCGACGAUCCGUAACUGGUCUGAGAGGAUGAUCAGUCACACUGGAACUGAGACACGGUCCAGACUCCUACGGGAGGCAGCAGUGGGGAAUAUUGGACAAUGGGCGAAAGCCUGAUCCAGCCGUGCCGCGUGUGUGAAGAAGGUCUUCGGAUUGUAAAGCACUUUAAGUUGGGAGGAAGGGCAGUAAGUUAAUACCUUGCUGUUUUGACGUUACCAACAGAAUAAGCACCGGCUAACUUCGUG
rnacentral:rRNA from 1 species